AGGCUGACACAGAUGACAGGACAAAGGAGCAUACAUGGAAAUAAAAUGAAAAUUCAGAACAGAUGUCAGGACACAUUUUUCAUGCUGAAUGUGCAGAGUGGCCAACCAGGUUUCCUUUUCACUCCAUGCAGUAACUCUCCACAAUAUGGACUGAGACCUAAUUGUCCAUGUGUGUUCCUAGCAUGUCAAACACAGCUACCGUUUUCAAGAGGAGCACUAGGAGUGUGCAGGUCUAGCACCUGAACGACGUAUCACGAACCUGCAACUAUCAGUGACACUUAGCACUUGCAAUUGCAGGGAAAUACAUUGUAUUUGUUUAAGGAUCCCUGAGUGGGCCAACUGCAGGAAAGAAUUUACUUUGUUUCUUGCCUGAAAGAAUUGACUGUGUCCAUGUUAAGACUGGAGUCAGGAGUUGUGAAUGGGGUGUCGAUGAUUCUUCUGAAUCUGGAUUGCAUGAGGAGCAUUAAGGACCAUUCUGCACGUCUGCUUUCCUGAUAGAUUGGUUAGCUCCCAUUUUAUUUUAUAUGCUGUACAUUGCUAUGCUGCAUCUAAAGCCAACAUUUCCGUGACUUCAGAACAAAUUGGAUUGAUUCUAGAAGCCUUUUGGCUUUAUGUAGUUUCUAAAUUGGCACAUGCUGCAUCUGUGCUACUUGAAUUAACAGAACUGUUCAUAUUUUACCACAGAUUAUUGGCAAAUUUUCCUUUAUUACUUGCAAAUGGGUACUUUGGAUAGCAUGUGAGAUUCAGUCAAGUCCUAUCCAUUUCUAACAGGUAUAUUAAAACAUGAUUAUAUGAGGCUAUAUUUUAUGAUAUAAAUGAUGAUUUGACCAUCCUGAAAAAGAAAAUACCUUUUUUUAUAUCUGGCAACAGGUGUUUUUAAGUGCUGUAUAUAGUUAAAUGUACAACAGGACUUUACAUUACUGUUCUUAUUUGGAGUGUGUAGUCAGCCCUUGACCCC